CAGUUUGUACAGGAUAGGUAGGAGCCUUAGAAGCGUGAGCGCUAGCUUACGUGGAGGCAUUGGUGGGAUACUACCCUAAUUGUAUUGGAUUUCUAACCCGCAACUCUUAUCGAGUUGGGAGACAGUGUCAGGCGGGCAGUUUGACUGGGGCGGUCGCCUCCUAAAGAGUAACGGAGGCGCUCAAAGGUUCCCUCAGAAUGGUUGGAAAUCAUUCAUAGAGUGUAAAGGCAUAAGGGAGCUUGACUGCGAGACCUACAAGUCGAGCAGGGUCGAAAGACGGACUUAGUGAUCCGGUGGUUCCGCAUGGAAGGGCCAUCGCUCAACGGAUAAAAGCUACCCCGGGGAUAACAGGCUUAUCUCCCCCAAGAGUUCACAUCGACGGGGAGGUUUGGCACCUCGAUGUCGGCUCAUCGCAUCCUGGGGCUGUAGUCGGUCCCAAGGGUUGGGCUGUUCGCCCAUUAAAGCGGUACGCGAGCUGGGUUCAGAACGUCGUGAGACAGUUCGGUCCCUAUCCGUCGUGGGCGUAGGAAAUUUGAGAGGAGCUGUCCUUAGUACGAGAGGACCGGGAUGGACAUACCUCUGGUGUACCAGUUGUCGUGCCAACGGCAUAGCUGGGUAGCUAUGUAUGGACGGGAUAAGUGCUGAAAGCAUCUAAGCAUGAAGCCCCCCUCAAGAUGAGAUUUCCCAACUUCGGUUAUAAGAUCCCUCAAAGAUGAUGAGGUUAAUAGGUUCGAGGUGGAAGCGUAGCGAUACGUGGAGCUGACGAAUACUAAUCGAUCGAAGACUUAAUCAAUUU
rnacentral:rRNA from 1 species